CGACGAGGUAGAUAGGGCAGAGGUGGAAGUGCGGUAACGCAUGGAGCUGACUGUUACUAAUAGGUCGAGGGCAUAACCAA
rnacentral:rRNA from 1 species